CCCGAGCUGGGUGACAUUCACAGCCAGGACGUGACCAUCCCCCUGCUCCGCCGAACCCAGACGCGUCGCAUCGGUGACACUGUUGCUGAGAACGGGCAACUCCUCACACCCAUGGGGACCCUUCAUGGGACAGCUCGGGAGUCGCGGGGGUUUCAGCACCAACAUUUCGCAACCGUGGGGUGUCCCGACAACCAACAACAACAAUAACUUGACUCGGCGAGCGUGGCCGCCCCGCGCUCCAGCUCCUUCCUGCUGUUGUCAGGCGGAGCGCGCUGCGGCAGCCUCACCCGGGCCAGCGUUAUUUCCAAAGCCCAGGGUGGAAAAUGCCUCAAAGCAGCAGAAAAAUGGAAUAUUGAGUUUUAUUACUUUUUCCCUCCCUGCAGAAAGCCAGCGGGAUGCUUCAUUAAAACAUCUUCUCCCUCUGCCCUGCAUGAAACACCCAGGAAACGUUUUCUUUGUGCAGCGUUAAUGUUGGGACGCUGCUCUCAGGGCCGGCCGCCCCGGGGCAGCUCAGCGCUGGCACGGUCAAGGCUUUCCAGGCUUUGGCAGCAGCAAAGCCACAGCUGCUGGUGGGUUUUUGUUGUUUUCCAACCAAAACCUUGUAAUAAUAAUAAAAGAAAUCAUAAAGCGAGGGCGCCGGGAAGGGGCGGCCGCCCCCCCGGCUGUGGGGUGAUGUGCAAGGACGGGACGCGGCUCCUUAUCAGCACGCUUGGCAGCGGAGCCGGCCAGAGCUUUGCGGCAUAAACAUAUUUUGCUGGUGUGGGCGGCCAGGGUUGAGCUAAGGACAGCCGGCUCGGUGGCAACCAGAAACACCCCCCGUGCCCCCCCAAAAACAUGCCUUCUUGCAGCAAACCCCCACCUGCGCACACCAAUCCUGGAGCAAACAACCAGCCCAGCCCCGCAGCAGUAAAUACAGGAGCAACAGCAAACCCACCCCCAGCUCCGCUCCCCGGUGUUUACCGGCUCUUGGCAAAUACAUUGACUCUCCCUCAUUUUUUCACACACAAACCUGCCGGUGAAGCAGAGCAAACCAGCUCAGGGUCCCCAGCUGUGACCAUUGUCCCCACCACGGCCACCUCCAACCAGCCAGAACCCCCCAGCUAUCGCUGCCUCCAUCGCCGUGCUGGGAUGUGCUGGCAUUUACACAGCUGCUCAGCAGGAAAACCCUUCUCCCUGCCCCACCAAACCCUUGCAUUUAAAAGUACCUGGGUGCAGGUUUGCUAACGAGGUUGGCAGUGGGAGGGGGGUAACUGCAAACUCCUGGGGACACUUUGAGAUUGAGGAGCAGGUGGGGGGAGUGCUGACCCAUCGCAGGAGCUGCCCUGGGGUGUGGGGGGACGGGGAGCA